AUACAUACCCAUAACUAGGCAGAAUGCCCAUCUUAGAAAGCACCUAUUGUAGAGAGCUGAAAUAAUGUAUGGAAGUUAACUAUUUCUGCACAUCAAACUGUGAAGAUAUGUCAGGAUGCUACUACUGACCUAUGAUCUGCAAAAUGAUAUGUUUUACAGACAUUUCAACUUCAUGUGAGAGAAACCUGGGCAGAGUAUCUACAGAGCAUAUAAACAAGAACCACCAACAUGGUUGUCAUGGCAAAAUUCAGAAUCCAGUGUGUUCCCUUUCUGUGAUAUCACAAGAAUCAUGAAGUGGUAAGGAGGGCAGAGACCGUCUUCAUGGAAGAAACAAAUCCCAUAAUACAAACAAUCGCAGGAACUGUGAUCAUUGAGUACAUAACUUAGUAGUGAGUUGUAUGUUUAGCCUGGGUGAAGCCCUGGGUUCAGUCUCCGGAAGGAAGAAAUGUCACUGAUAUUUACAUGAAUUUGAUCAACAGACCAUCAAGACAUCACCCAGUAAAAGACAGACCUUCAUUCCAUAGGCUUUCUAGCUGAUGGUAAAACUUUACAAAGUUAAUGAGAGUCCAGAAACAAGCCUCUGCUUUAGAAAACAAAAGAUCAUCCAGAGAAAGCCUCAGAGCCCUUAGACCAAAAUUGGCAGAAGAAGGUAUACCAAGAACAUAGAAGCUGUUCUACCAAGGCCAGGAUUUAGCAGACAAUCCCCUUAAUUAGCACAUAGACUGUGGGGCUGAUUAGUUCACAGAUGUGAAGGACAGAGGAUACAUACUUGGCCUUCCCAGAUGGUCUAUCUUCAACUCAUUAUUGCCUUUAUCUUUGUUGGAAGCAUUGCGUAGAGAACAUCGGCACCUGAGCAAGACUAAAACAGAACGCCUUAGGUCAGAGCCCAAUAGAGACCCUCCCUCACAGUCCAGAGUCCUCAGGGUCCCCCACAUCUUUGUACUGGGGUACACAAGUCAUAAAUCGGGGCUUGGGACACUUCCUCCUGCUCAACAAGUACCUAAGCCACAGAUUUCAUAGCGCAGCUCCGAUCUGAGCCCACUAAGUUUUUCUAUCAUAAGGUUACAACUUCGAUGACCUGUGAGCCAUGGGCUGCGUGAGCUUGGAGCACAGAAAAAAAACAGUCAUUCUCACUUCCGACAGCAUGACAGGUGCCCACCCUGACCCAUGUUCAUAUACACAUUCUCUCCCUGAAGUUCCUCUGUUUUCUUAAGUCAUGGUACUUACAUUUCUUGAUGUGUUGGUCUAUCUCAAGCAAAAAAGGCAUGACGAAAAGGAAAAAUGCGAAGAGCAUAACAAACACCGCAUAGAGCCAAGGGACACCGUUCGGGAACACACUGAACCCUGCUUCUAUCUCUGCCAUUGGGACAGGAGGGAAGACAUAGAAUUCUCUGCCCCAGCUCCUUUACCUCCUCAGUCACCAUGGCAAUGACAUCACAGCUUCAGUGACAAUGGGCAAGUGAGGGUCUGAGUGGGCAUUGGCCAAGCUUCAUCCUAUCUGGGACAAGAACAAGGAUAGCUUUCUUCCUACUGUGGAUUUUUUUCCUAAUAUUUUUGUGUGUGCAUAUGAUGUGUGCAUGUGUGUGUAGAAUCCCUGCCAUCCCUUGCCUGGUGUUCAUCAGAAACGUGUGUCUUAUCCAAGGACAGGAAUACCUCCCCCAUUACAUGGGUCAAUGAGGAGAAAACACUUCAUUUUCCAAGAUGAGAGUGGUAUCUCCCUUCUGAGCACAACAGGAAUAUCCUGGGUGCUUUGAGAACCCCCACAACAUGCUCCCUGGUCCCAGCAGCAUUUCCCAAAAGAAAGUGAAGAGAAGGCAAAAGGAUGGGCUAACCCUACCUGGUAUGGCACAAAGCCUUUCUCUGCGCCUUCAUCCAUUUCCUACUACCGUGGCCAAAUGUCACAGAAUGGGUAAAGAUUUCCUCUGCUCACUGUCCUUGAGGCUGGGAAGUCCAGAGCUGGGGAUAUCCCUACUGGGGGCUUUGUGGAUGUGCCAUUCUAUCAAAGAAGAGGUCAGGGGUGCAUGCAAAAGAGAUACAGGAGAGUUGACUGGCUUUAUAACGACCCACUCAGGAUGCCUACCCACUCUUGCCACAAUGGUAUUUGCCCACCAGUAUGAUCACCUCUUCUAGGACCCCCUUCUAGUGAUGUAGGGGAAAUGAGCUUCCAAAGCAUUGCCUUUGGAUUGACACAUUGAAACCAUAGCACUCAAUAGUGGGACUUCCCUUGAAUUAAUGUCUCUACAUUCCUAAUCCAUUACACAGUCCUAGCCAACAUUCUCCUCCAUAUUUAGAUCAACCCAGCUACCCUUUCUGGAAGUUUUUACAAUAGAAGUUGUCUCAUGCUUAAAGUCACUUUUCCCAGAGACUAUCAACCUACUGGCACAGGGUAACUCUAUCCUAUAAUGUCCUCCAAGUAUGCCAUUUUCCCAAUGCUUGUUUAAACACAGUCUUCCCUACAGUGACCAGUGAAUACCCAUGGGAAGAUAAUGCUGUGUCUUCCAUAGUCACAUAGUCUUUGCCAGCUCCCAAGUCCUGUACACUCUAUAGAGUAUUUCAUGGCAAAUCUGUGCUGUCCAUAGAAUUCAGCACUGGCAUGAAUCAGUCAUUCAUGGAAGCUUCUGGAAUAUGGACUCUGUAGAUCGUGGAUUUUCUCCAGCUGUGAUGGGUGGGAUAAAGUUAGAAAUCAUUAGGAAGCACAAGUCCAAAAUCCACAAAUUUGCAGAAAUUAGGUAGCACACUUUUAACCCAUGGAUCAAAGAAGUUAAACUAGGAAAUAUUUAGAGACUGAUGAAACUGUGGCCAGAGCACGCCACGUGGGGUGCGAUGAAAGCCACAGUGACCGCUGUGGUUUCCAGACAGAGGACCGUGCCUUUUCUAGAAGUUUUGCUUUGAUGCAUUUGUGUUCUCCCUCUGAUAGGCCUAGAUGUGAUUCUUCUGAUUAUCUUGGUUGACGAGCACUCUGCGGCUCUUUCCAAAUUAAGACCUCAAGAUAUUUGUUUUACUUCUAUUAGCUUACUUACUUAUUUAUAGUAUUAAUACAAAUAUACUUAUAAAUAUACUAUUAUUUCCUUACCUAUUCUUAUUAGCUCUUCUGUUAUUUUUACUGCACAUCUGUUUAUUUUCUUCUGGGACCUGAUAGGUAGCUUCUGCCUCUGUAUCCUUUAGAACAUCAGCAAUAUUUCUGCUUCUAUUCUUUUCUCUUGCCUCCCUGGUAAAAUGAUAUUCCGACUCAAUAAUUUGGUUUUUUAUUAUGUCUAUGCCACUUCCCAAUUUCUUUAUUGCUUAGCAUCUCAAUGCUAAGCAAUGUUCUUACUUCUGUGAAGAGUUGUGGGCACAGUCAGUAGUUGGGCUGGUGGCCACAGCCUUCAGUGGCUGUGGACAGUCAGUAGUUGGGAUGGCGGCCACAGCCUUCGGUGGCUGUGGAACAAGCCAUACGAGAAGCUGGAAAAUGAUUGCAUUUCAGAACUUGUCCUGAAUGCAGUUUGGAUUUCUCCAGUGCAGCCUCCUCUCACUCCCCAACGCCUGCCAUACCCAUUGCAAUCCAGUCUCCAGGUCAACCUAUGCAUCAGU